CCCUUAGAUGUUCUGGGCCGCACGCGCGUUACAAUGAAUCGUUCAACAGGUUUCUUCCUGAGUCGAAAGGCUUGGGUAAUCCUUUAAAUACGGUUCGUGCUAGGGAUAGAUUUUUGCAAUUAUUAAUCUUGAACGAGGAAUAUUUAGUAAACGCAGGUCAUCAGCCUGCAUUGAUUACGUCCCUGCCCUUUGUACACACCGCCCGUCGCACCAACCGAUUGGGUGUGCUGGUGAAAUGUUCGGAUCGGCCGUUUGUCGCGGUUUCCGCGUCAUGUGGCUGAGAAGUUCAUUAAACCCUCCCACCUAGAGGAAGGAGAAGUCGUAACA
rnacentral:rRNA from 1 species